UGGUAUAUACAGAAGUAACCUACUAACCCA
rnacentral:piRNA from 1 species